rnacentral:lncRNA from 1 species
AAGGGAGGCAGGAAGGAGAGGGAAGGGGGGUGCUUUUCUCAGGCCUGGGGCCCCUAGCUCUUUGUCCGGCUCCUUUUGCAUCUCAAAGCACCAGCCGCAUUCCAAGCGAGGAUUGGGUUGCCAUGACAAUAAGCACAAUGGGCUGGGGGGUGAAGUCACCCGCUUCCCAGGCUCUAGUCCACCCCCUUUUAUCCCCUGUCCUGGCACCCCACAGCCCCAGGCACCUUAAAGGGGAACCAACCCAGGUUCCUGGACUCUGGGCUCUUGGCCAUGGAAAGUCCAGCCUCUAAGCAGACCCAUUUCCCCUCCCUUCCUGUUCAUCUCCACCAACUAGGGCUACUUGUUGGAGAGAAAUGCAAAGUUGUGGACAAAGUGCUGAACCGAGGCCUGUGAAGUCAGGGCCUUGAUUUUCUCUUCUGUAAAUGAUGAUCCCUUCCAGGUCAGAUGAUCCCUAUCCAGGUUGAUAAGACAGGUUCCAGGUCAUACCAACUAAGGGACCAGAUGUGAUGUGCCCCUUCACAGAUUGGCCUGGGUUUGGAGGCUUCUGGAGAACUGUAAAGGGCAUCUAACCCAAUGCCCUCAUUUUACAGACGGGAAAAUGGGUCAUGGAGGAGUGACUUCACCAACAUCACUCAUAGGUGCUUGUGUCCAUGGUGAGAAGGGUGAUGGAGAGAAGUGGCUGCAGUUCCCACCCAUGGAGAGGUCACUGGUGAAUCCCAGCUAAAGAGGAAGGACAGGCCCGGCCUGAGUCCCACAGGUGGGCUCAGCCCCUCUCCUUACCGAAUGUAGCCAACUUGAGGCCGGUGCAGAAGCUGCCAGCGAUAGGAGGUCUUGUCCCGCCAGCCCACAUUUCGUGGGUCUGUCCACAGCAGUCGUACCUGAUCAGGGGUGUGGCCAGUAUGCCACAGGGCAUUUCGGAGGUGCUCACCUGGGCCAGACACUGAUGUCACUGCCUAGGAGACAUUGGCAAAGACAGUGAGUCAACUGCAGAACUGGAGUGAGGGGAGACAACAGGUCGGUAAGUGCAGGUGGGAAAGGGAUUCAAGGCGGUCAUGAAAAUGCCCUGGGGCCCCAGAGAGCCGGCCUCCAAGCCAGAUGUCUGGGUAAGAGGGUUCCCAGUCAAGCAGUGGGGGAGGCCCUGGGGCUGCAGAGGAGAGCUUUGGGAAAGGGCCCUGGGUUGCGGAAUCUGAGCAGCUGGGGACCUUGAGCUGCAGCCCGGGCUGGGCAACCGCCCGGAAGGGUGUAGCCUGCCAGUAGGUCUGCUCGGUCUGCUUCCACAUGACUACGUAGAAGCGGCCACUGUCUUGAUAACUGAAGAGAAAGCCUGCGUAGUCAUCAUCAGUCACUGUGUUCACAUGGAAGGUGCCUUCAAAGUCCACACCAUUGAAGGCCGUGUAUCCUGGGGUGGGGGUGGGAUAAAGGUCAGGGGCAGCAAAGCUACUGGCGGCCCAUCAUGGGGUAAAGUUGGGAAGGGAUGCCUGCUAUGUAUGUGGCCAGCUUGUGCCACCGCCUUCUCUCUCGCCACUUUGCCCAUUCUCCCUGUCUGUUUCCUCCCCUACCCUCUGCCCCUAUAGGAUUCCUCCAUUUGGAAGUGAUUGAACUGCAUAUCCCUUACAUACCAACUGCCAAGCCAGGGUCACUGUUCAUGGUCUGAACGAUUUCCAUGCCCUGGGGUUGUAUAGUAAAGAAAAAGCUGUGAUGCAGGUGUGCUAUCCCUCCCAGGCCCCCCGCCCCAGUAGCCCUGUCUGAUAGCACCUGCCCAGCCCACUGCCCCGAGUUACCUGGUUGAGCACAACCCAGUUUGGGUCAAUCUGAGCAUCACCCUCAGGAUCCAGGACGACGGUCUGAUAGGCCCGAAAAUCCGUAAGCGUUACCUCUGCACUUUCAGGACACACAUCCAGGGGGUCGACCACCGCAUCAUUGUCAAAGUCAUCCUCACACACAUCACCAACGCCAUUGCCUGGGCAGAGUGAGGCUGGGUGCUCAGGAAGGCCCUGGCCACUGCCAUUAGGCAACAAUACCAUCUGUUGGGCCUGCAUUCCUGACAUCUUUCCCCACCUUGCCCUUCCUCACUUCCCAACAGGGCUUGCUGCCUCCACCUGGGCAAAGGCAACACCAGUCUAACGUGCUCUGGGUCCACAGGCUUACCAUCUGAGUCCUUCUGAUUGGGAUUGGGUACCAGGCGGCAGUUAUCAGGACCAGGAGGCACAUAAUCUGGGAUGCCAUCAUUGUCAUCAUCCCCAUCACACUCAUCUCCAAGUCCAUCGUUAUCAGAGUCCAGCUGGGAGCUAUUUGGCAGCUGUGGGCAGUUGUCCUUGGUGUCCUGAUGCCCAUCCCCAUCGCUAAUCAGAAGAACAGGUUGGUGAAAGUCCUGAACUUUGUCUCCCCACCCAGAGGACAACUGGCCAGGAAAUCUGCCUGUUUCUUGUCUCACCCUCUAGUCCACACUCUGCCUAACGCUACGCCCUACCUCACAUUCCUAUUGACAUCUGCUGCAGAUCACACCCUUGUGAUGGACAAACUGCUCAGUACAGUCCCACCCACCCAGCCUCCUUGUCCUGGGCACGAGGUUUUUGCCUCCCUGAUUUGGAGUAUUGGGCCCUUACUAGAGAGCUGCCAGAUGAGGUAAGUGAGGCAUGGAGAGGACAGGAGGAGGGGAGAGGAGCUUCAAGGGGCAGGGCAGUCUGGGAGUCACCUCAACAUUCUUGAUCCCAUCCCCAUCAGCAUCAUCAUCACACUGGUCCCCCACACCAUCAUUAUCAGCAUCUUCCUGCCCAGAGUUGGGUGUCAAAAGGCAGUUGUCCUAAAGUUCAGGGGAAGAGGAUGGAUGAGUUCUGGCCUGACCCAGCUUGGGCUCCCCACUACGCCCCCUUGCCCGCCUGCUCCCUGCACCUGUUUGCAGUGUUUGUUGUUGUCCAUGCAGGGCAGUGCUUGGUCUGGGUAGCCAUCGAUGUCUGUGUCAGUCCCACACACGUUCCCAUUCCCAGCCCAGCCCACGUUACACUAGGGCAACACAAAGGGUAGGAGCUAGCAGUUUGGUCUGGCUCCCCUCCUCCCUCUAUUUUCCCUGCUUCAGGUCCUAUUCUCCCCACCAAACAGUUCCUGGGCCCAGGCCCACCUCUCUCCUAUGAAGGCCCCCAACCCAGGCCCUAAACAUAGCCCUACUCCUUUCCCCAGACCCUCCCUUUUCCUUCCACGCCUGAAGCCUAGCUCACCUGGCAGGACACUGCACCAUUGCGUUCAAAGAGACAGUGAGCAUGGAUGUGGCAGGGGCUGUGGGCUGGGCUGUGGCAGGUCCGGGCUGGGAGGCAGCCCUGGCUCUGGUUGCCCAGGAAACCCAGGCGGCAGGGACCACACUUGAAAGAGCCCUAAGAGUGGAGAGGCAGCAUCUUAGGAAGGAGGGUGAGCCCACCAGGCACCCAGGACCAGCACUGCUCCACCUGCGGGGUGUGGGCUGGGCACUCAAUUAUGCCAGGCAUAUCAGUAUCUCCUUUAGGUUCUCAUGACAACCUUUCAGGGUGGAUAACAGCCUCAGUUUUCAGAUGAGGAAGCUGAGGCUCAGAAAAGUUAAAUAACCUGCCAAAGAGCUAGCAAGAGGCAAACCAGUAUUCCAAACCAAGUCCAUGUGAACACCUAAUCUGUGUAGUGCCCUGGGGAGGAGGAAAGGCAGCAGGAAAUUUGAAGACCUGAAGGGGCAGACUUUGGGUGGAACCAGACCUAUGGUGGGUCUCCUCAGAUACAGCAGAGGACACUGGUAUGGCCUUAUCUGUGAACAUCAACAUUAAGCCCAGACCCAAAGCCGAUGCAAAGCCAUCCAUGUCCCAUUCAUCACAAGGGUCCCAUGUCCAACCCAGAAGCCCCUGGCCUCUACAAGGCCAAGAUCCCUUGUCCACACACACUACCCAGUCUGACCUGUUUGCUGGCCCGGGCAUAGUCAAUGCCCACACCAGACACCUGUGUGCCCUUGUACCCUCGAGGACAGGCCUCACAGUGGAAGCCGGGCAUGGUGUUGAUGCAGCUGGAGCCCGGGAAACAGGGGUCAGCGUGAGCACACUGGGGACCAGAUGAGAAGGCAGAGGUCAGGCCGCCCUCUGGGAAACUCAGGUCCCUGCCUGUGAUCCAGGAACCAUUGCUCCAGGUCUCCCCUUUGUGCAGCUCUCCCCACACAACUGCCUUGUGCUCCUGGUCCCCACCCCGCUUCCCUCGGGGUUCCCUCUCUCCCUCCCCAUGCCACUGGUCGCCAUCUCAAGCCCCCCUGCAGUUUCCCCAGCUCCUUCCCUGUAUGGCCUUCAGUCUUUGCCCCAGGCCUUCUGUCUCUCCCAUCUUGCAUUUCUCUUGCCUCUGACCUCUCCUAAACUCCAGAUUCCUCUCCUCCGGACCAGCAUUUAUCCCACCCUCUUGGGCGCCUCCUGACAUCCUCACCCCAGUUUUCUGUACCCUUCUGGGCUCUGCCCUCCCCCACCUCAUUGAUGUCACUGCAGUGGGUGCCGUUGCCCUGCAGGCCAGGGGGGCAGGGCCCACAGCGGUAGCCUGGGUACUCGUACACUUCCAUGCAGUCCACACCUCGGAAGCAGGGAUUGGGGCUGCAGUGGGAACGCUGCUCAUGGAAGCCUGAGGGGUGGACACAGUCAGAGCUACCCGGUGGUCACUAUUUAAGCCACCAGAAGGGAAAGCCAAAGCCAUUGGGUGGGGAACGUGGCACAGUCAUGUGGAGCCUCCCCUGCUCUCCCACUCACCGCACACCUGACACUCCAUAAUGGUGUUUCGGAUCAGGGACAUUUCCUUCACCUGGAGAAGGAUGGGGAGGAGUCAGCACUUGACAUCUGCCACCCUACCCCAGAAUCAGUGCCACCCUUCGCCAGCCCACCCAAACCUGGUCUCGUAUAUCAUCCCGCAGCUCCACCAGGAUCUGGUUGAAGAGGGUGAGUUGGGUGACCAGCGCCUUGGUCUGCUCCCCUGUCGGGACCCAGGGUGUGAGGGGCUCAGUACUGGAGCACCAGUCCUGGGCCCUCCAUGGGCAAUAAGCCAGUACCUGCCACGGCUGCCCACCCCUGCCUUUAACCCUACUACAUUCCUGACUGAAGAGGACUUAGUUUCAGGCAGCUGCCAGAGCCUGGGGCCUCCUCCCCGCUCCCCGCUUCCGCUUCAGUGUGGCCUACUCACCUAGAAUGGAGUGCAGUGCAUUGGUCACUGGAGAGGAGAAGAAAACAUAGUCAGAGGGGUGAGGUGAAGUGAAGAGAGGCCUGGUUGGUGAGAAGAAGGAAGGAAGGUGAGGACAGGGACAGGGCUGGAGCCCCAGAAUAAAGAUGGGGUGCUGGAUGCUGGGAGGGCAGAGCUGGCAGACAAGCAGUGCCAGCUCCUUCUAUGGGGCAAAAGGCCCUCUAAGGGAGUUGCUUCACAGGAAGUUAAAACCCAAAUCCUCCUGGUUCCUAGGCAUGGUAGUAGCAGAAGGGAUGGACCCAAAGCAGGGCCAGGGCCCCAGUAUAUCCCCGUUUUUUGUUUUUUGUUUUUUGUUUUUUUUUUUUUGAGUCGGAGUCUUGCUCUGUUGCCCAGGCUAGAAUGCAGUGGCGUGAUCUCUGCUCACCACAACCUCCACCUCCCAGGUUCAAACAACU